AUGACAAACAUCACAUUCAUCUGGACUCUCCUGCUCUGUAUCGCAGUAUGCCGAGGCCAGUAUACUCUGACUCAGACUCCAGCAGUGAAAGCUUCUCUUGUGGGACAAACCAUCACACUCAACUGCAGGACCAGCAGCCCCCUCACUGCUGAUAGCUUCUCCUGGUACCUUCAGAAACCUGGAGAAGCUACUAAACUGUUAAUGUAUCGAAUAAGCAACCGCUAUGGAUCAACCCCCAGUCGCUUUGUUGGUGGAGGAUCCUCUAAAGAUAAAGGCAGGCAGCUUCCUAUUGGCUCUCUGGAGACAGUGGGGGUACAGAAGCUACUAGUUAGAGCCCCACUCUCUGCAUUUGGGGAACAUGGGAAAGGAGAGUAG